rnacentral:tRNA from 1 species
GUCCCCUUCGUCUAGAGGCCCAGCAGGACACCGCCCUUUCACGGCGGUAACAGGGGUUCGAAUCCCCUAGGGGACGCCA